GCCUUAGUGAUGUAGUGGUCAGCACGCUGGGCGCGUAUUCCAGAGGUCCGUGGUUCGAGUCCCGGCAAGGGCA
rnacentral:tRNA from 1 species